rnacentral:rRNA from 1 species
GAUGAACGCUGGCGGCGUGCCUAAUACAUGCAAGUCGAGCGAACAGAUGAGAAGCUUGCUUCUCUGAUGUUAGCGGCGGACGGGUGAGUAACACGUGGGUAACCUACCUAUAAGACUGGGAUAACUCCGGGAAACCGGGGCUAAUACCGGAUAAUAUUUUGAACCGCAUGGUUCAAUAGUGAAAGACGGUUUCGGCUGUCACUUAUAGAUGGACCCGCGCCGUAUUAGCUAGUUGGUAAGGUAACGGCUUACCAAGGCGACGAUACGUAGCCGACCUGAGAGGGUGAUCGGCCACACUGGAACUGAGACACGGUCCAGACUCCUACGGGAGGCAGCAGUAGGGAAUCUUCCGCAAUGGGCGAAAACCUGACGGAGCAACGCCGCGUGAGUGAUGAAGGUCUUCGGAUCGUAAAACUCUGUUGUUAGGGAAGAACAAAUUUGUUAGUAACUGAACAAGUCUUGACGGUACCUAACCAGAAAGCCACGGCUAACUACGUGCCAGCAGCCGCCGUAA